UAGCUAUGAUGUGGGUAAGCAUUUAGAAGAUCCUUGAAUCUCUCCUAGCAUUGGAAGAAAGUUUCUUCCUCUUUCUACAAAAAAUUUAUAAUAACCCUUUUAUGCGU